CUGGAGGACUGGGAUGCUGAGCUCCCAUUAGCGCGGGACUUUGGAGACACCUCUGUGAUCGGGGAGUCCGUCAGCGUGACAUUGAUGAGCGUCAGAGCAAGGUAGACCUGAGUGUCCUAGGGUCUACCUUGGCGAUGGCUGACGAUGUGUCAGCACCUCACUGAAUGACACUUAAGUCUGUGGAAGAGCUUGUCCGUUUCCUGGUCGACCACGAGGAGACGGACUUCAUCCCUUCCUUCUUUGAUGAUUUCCA